rnacentral:rRNA from 1 species
CCUACGGGGUGCAGCAGUGAGGAAUAUUGGUCAAUGGACGCAAGUCUGAACCAGCCAUGCCGCGUGCAGGAAGACGGCUCUAUGAGUUGUAAACUGCUUUUGUACGAGGGUAAACGCAGAUACGCGUAUCUGUCUGAAAGUAUCGUACGAAUAAGGAUCGGCUAACUCCGUGCCAGCAGCCGCGGUAAUACGGAGGAUUCAAGCGUUAUCCGGAUUUAUUGGGUUUAAAGGGUGCGUAGGCGGUCGGAUAAGUUAGAGGUGAAAGCUCGAGGCUCAACCUCGGAAUUGCAUCUGAUACUGGUCGGCUAGAGAGUAGUUGCGGUAGGCGGAAUGUAUGGUGUAGCGGUGAAAUGCUUAGAGAUCAUACAGAACACCGAUUGCGAAGGCAGCUUACCAAGCUACUUCUGACGUUGAGGCACGAAAGCGUGGGGAGCAAACAGGAUUAGAUACCCUAGUAGUC